AUUGAACGCUGGCGGCAUGCCUUACACAUGCAAGUCGAACGGUAACAGGUCUUCGGAUGCUGACGAGUGGCGAGCGGGUGAGUAAUACAUCGGAACGUGCCCAGACGUGGGGGAUAACGAGGCGAAAGCUUUGCUAAUACCGCAUACGAUCUAAGGAUGAAAGCAGGGGACCGCAAGGCCUUGCGCGUUUGGAGCGGCCGAUGGCAGAUUAGGUAGUUGGUGGGAUAAAAGCUUACCAAGCCGACGAUCUGUAGCUGGUCUGAGAGGACGACCAGCCACACUGGGACUGAGACACGGCCCAGACUCCUACGGGAGGCAGCAGUGGGGAAUUUUGGACAAUGGGCGAAAGCCUGAUCCAGCAAUGCCGCGUGCAGGAUGAAGGCCUUCGGGUUGUAAACUGCUUUUGUACGGAACGAAAAGGCUCUGGCUAAUACCUGGGGCACAUGACGGUACCGUAAGAAUAAGCACCGGCUAACUACGUG
rnacentral:rRNA from 1 species